rnacentral:rRNA from 1 species
AUUGAACGCUGGCGGCAGGCCUAACACAUGCAAGUCGAACGAGUGGUUGACGGGUGCGUAAUGUCUGGGAAACUGCCUGAUGGAGGGGGAUAACUCCUGGAAACGGUAGCUGAUACCGCAUACCCUCAGAUGUUCCCAGAUGGCAUUAGCUAGUUGGUGGGGUAACGGCUCACCAAGGCGACGAUCCCUAGCUGGUCUGAGAGGAUGACGAGCAACACUGGAACUGAGAAACGGUGCGGACUCCUACGGGAGGCAGCAGUGGGGAAUAUUGCAAAAUGGGCGCAAGCCUGAUGCAGCCAUGCCGCGUGUAUGAAGAAGGCCUUCGGGUGGUAAAGUACUUUCAGCGGGGAGGCGUUACCCGAAGAAGAAGCACCGGCUAACUCCGUGCCAGCCGCCGCGGUAAUUC